rnacentral:lncRNA from 1 species
AGACGCACCGGGAAAAAGGCGGUGAGAAAAUGCUGAGGGGAGAGGCCUCGACUCAGGAGGUGUGGUCGGGGUGCACCGCUCCCUGAGCUGCUGCAAUGACGUCGUCUCAGGGCAUGUUUAAUGGAAGCUCCACGGUGGAAAAGGUAUUAAUGGCAGGUGAUCCAGAAGCUUUGUGGACCAUUGGCCUAAUUGAAGGCAGUAGCAGAAGAGUUGAGAGAGGACAGAUGUGGGAGAGGACCAGGUGACUGACUGAAUGAAAGGGGAGAAAUAUCCAGUCUGUGGCCUGGAGAUUACAAAGCCGUAAUCAGAAAUACUGGUCAACUGAUCUGUGUAUUUUGUGAUGACAAAGUACAGCAGCCACCAAGAGAAAACACAUGGCCAUAUUGAAAAGAGAGAGGAAAAGUAGAUUUUCUGAAGAGCCAGUGAAAAGGAAGUUUCAGGUCUGUUUGAACUCCCUUUGUUCCCCCACAUGUAAAAUUUCAUACAAUGCACAUUGGCAGGGAAUGCUAAUACCUGUUUGAUUUGGGGGCACUUCUGAGUGAACGAUCAUGGUUAUUAAAGAUAAUCAAUAGUGUUCAAGUGUGUAUACCACAUCAAUUGUAAUUUGAUUAAAGUAUCUCUUCUUAGAACGAUUUCUUAUUGCACUGUAGAAUAGCAUGCAGAAAGAUUGACCUGCUGAUAAUUUGGCCAAAUUGCCCAUCCACAAGGAUACCCAGCUUCCAUUCCUUCUGGGGGGUUCAGGAUCUGUGAACCAAUUCAAGUCUGAAAAUUAGGGGAGGGCUAUGGCUCCCAUGGUGACACAAUCCAAGCUGUUUUAAAAGCUAUAUUCAGUGUUGUGUUGGUAAUAAUGAUCAAGUAGAACCAAAAUGAUCUGUCCAUCUAUUUCUGACCUAGGGACCCGUCAUCAAUUGCCCCUCCCCAAGAUCUGUGUAGGUCGGUUCAUUCUGAUGAGUACUUUGUCCUUGCUGCCUCUUAUUGUUACCAUAUUCACAUUGCCUCUGACCAAUUAUGUGCUCCUUUUUUGGCUUUUGCCAUCUUGGACAUCCCUGCAUCCCUAUAGAAAUCAAGGAGUCUGUUCCAAUGGAACAUCUCCCACCUCCAUCCCUGAACUACAGAGGUCAGCCAUCAAAGCACUUUGCAAGGAUGAUGGUCUCCUUUUCAUCAGUGUUAUUUCUUGAUAAAGAACAUGUCCUUUUGUCCUCCUAGCAGGCAUAAUUAGAAGGUGGAUGAGCAGGUUACAUGUGGGAAAUUCACUCCAACAUUCUUAUCACCCUAUGUCUUUGCUGUACUUCUACAUUAAACCAACAAAAAUCUGUAUCUCUAGUUCUGUCAUCAGCGGUCAUGGUUGAAUUCAGGUUUCACAAGUUCCAGCUGUUCACGCCAGCACUACAUUCCUCCCUCACUGGAUCACCAUCCUCAGAUUUUAUUCCCACACUUGGUUCCUGGGAUUUUGCCAAUAUAAAUUAGCAAAAUAUUGCAGUCUUCUUGCUGUUUAUGAUUUCUGGAUUUGACUUUGCAACUUGUCCUCUGGGUGUGCCGAGAGUAUAUGUAGUUAAGGCUCUAAGGGCAAUGGGAAGUGGUAGGUGUGAGGCACAGAAAGAACUGGAACCCUUUUGCAAAUUAUCUGCCUCACAUGAGGCAAUCUUAGAGUUUCCAAGCAAAGUAGGACCAUGUCAUCAGAGAGAGAAAGAGGGGCUAGGGAUUGUAAGAUGGGGAUGUUUGUGUUUUUCCAAGUCUUACUACCGCAACUCAAAAUUUCCCACUCCUGGUCUAAUAAAUGUCCUAAAGUCUCAUAGGCAACCUGUAUACCAGCAAACUGAACCUAUGUUAAAAGUUAGCCACCUGCAGGAUUGUCACUGAUGCUCAUCUUCUGCUGUUUCAGCCUAGCAGCUUUAAGAAGCCAGAGAUACUUAUAACAGGCCACUCUAGAAACUCCCUAGUUUUCUGGCUUACAGUGCACUAAGCCAAGGAUUAAAGUUAUAUAUUCUGUUCCUCUUUAAUCAUUCCCCUGAAAUUUUUAGCAUGCGUAGUUAACAAAAUCUAUUCAUCCGUAUUACUGUAUUCCUCUUAAAUAACAUAAGGACCUUGGAAUGCUUUAAUUCUGACUACCCUUCUCAUUUUAUAUGUUGUUCACUUCCUGUGUCAAAAAAAUCCUCUCUUGGGCUCCCUGUUUAACUAAUUGUCUAAACUGAAAUUCUGAAAAAUUUCCUAAGGGAACUGUGUUUAUAUCAAAACUAAAUAGAAGAGGUGGCAGUUGGAACCAACUGUUCCAUUCUAAAGGAGGCCAAGGAGAAGAAAGGAAAGGUGAGUAGGAGCAGCAGAAGUAUGAGAUGGCAGGAGGGGCCCUGAGAACAGAGAGCAGAGAGGUCUUUGAUAUCAGAAACAGAACCCAGUGUACACCCAUUUGAAUUAUGAGAAAUCGACAUGGGAAUGAACUCUCCUACUUAGGCUUCUGAGGCAUUUCUUUGAAUUUAUGAGGAUUUAUGUGUCUUUUCACCUGCAUGCAGGGCUGCUGGGCACCGGGCAACAGGAGUCACCAUAUGGCCAUCCUAACAGUGGUCGCUAGCUCCACUGUAGUUUGUUCUCCCAAAGCACUCUACAAACUUAUAGUGGAAAUCAUCUCGGGAAUCAGUAGCAAUGUUCGUAUUGAUUUUGUUGUUGUUUUCAAUGUGAUUUUUUGGGCAUUAAAAGUUUUAAU